UUCCUACCUAAGCUAAUAGCCCUAGCGGCUAU
rnacentral:sRNA from 1 species